CUCAGUGUGGUUUGCUUGGUUUCGUCGUCUCAAUACAAUAUUGUUUGAUUUUUUGUCUUCGUUUAGUGUUUGUUUGGUUUGGAUUGACAUAUCAACUUCAAUCAAUCAAACAUUAAAUCAAAUGACAAGAUAUUCAACGUUGCAAAUCCAUUAGCAUAAAUAUUCCAAUGAAUUUGGUUUUGUCACAUUAUUUAUAGACAUUUU
rnacentral:lncRNA from 1 species